UAUAAGAUCUUGCGAAUCACC
rnacentral:piRNA from 1 species